AAAUAGGGCUCUGGAGCUUGCAUUCCAGAGAAGACAUCAAGGUGGGCUGUUGGGAACACAGAAGAAAAUGCUGGCUUGAGCACAGGAGAACAUUUAAAUUAGGCCAGCAAGACUUGGGAUGAUGUCACGAGACCAUCAGCCAACAGCUUCACAUUUGAAUAGUAGUUUAUAAAUGGGAGAUCAUUCCAGGAUCUGUAAGGAACACCUAUAGAUGUGGGUGUCUUUGUUCUUUUAUUUAUUUAUUUUAUUUGUUCUCCCCUUAGAAUAGAUGUAGAGCUGAUGCCUGACGGUGGAUGAAAAUGGUUUCUAUUUUGGAGUAUAGGCUCUGUGCUUCUGCAGUAACUCCUUGACAGUGGUCUUCACACGCACACCCUGGUAAAUCUUGGGUUUAUCUGCAGAAAAAAAACAAUACAUUUAUUUUCAUUCACCACUGACGUAUGCAUUAUUUAAAUGAUUCUUACAUGUUCUGUAAAUGUGAAUGUUCUGUGCAGAAAAAAAAAGAACAAAAUAUUUUUUAUUUCCCUAAAUAAAAAUCCUAACGAAUGUAUAGCCUACAUGAAUCCCUGUUUAAGACAACGGAUCUACGUUGUUAAAAAUAUUUGUGAGGGUGCUUCAAAUAUGUAGGAUUAUGUUUGUUUGAUUUUAUAUAUGCAUUUCGUGUGUGUAUAUCAGUGUGGCUUAUCCAAUAAGCAAUAUAAGAAUUUAAUUGUGUUACCUUGAAAAAUGUGUUUUUGACUUGGUUGUCAAAAUAAUGAAGUUGCAAGGAAUGCAUUUGACCACUUUUCACUCUUAAAAAAAGAACGUUCUUUAUUGAGAUCGAAGCAUGAAGAACCUUAAACAUUAUUGGAAUCAGAAGGUUCUUUACAGUGAGAAAGAUUCUUUAGAUUAUUAAAACAUUCUUCACACUGAUAGAAAAAAGGUUAUUUUAAGAACAAAUCACUGAAAGGUUUUAGAGAACGGAUAUUUGGUUAUGGAAGUCAUUAAAUCGAAAUAUUUCUAUAAAAUGUUAUGCAUGUUUUUUCCAAGAAUGAUCGAAACAACAGGAAUACAAAGAUUAGGUUUCUAUGACAACCACAUGUCUAGUCUAUAACAAGAUUUUUGAAAGAUUUCUUGGACAUCCUUAUUUGUCAACCAGCUUUUGCAUUUUCUCCAUUUGCCAGUAGAAAAUAAGAUAGGCUAUAGCCUGAGUAAAUAUAGAAAUACAAGAUAAUAUCCCUCAAGAUAAAAACAACAAUGCUCGUCUUCCCAGUUAACGCAGUGGUCUGAGUGCAUUGGUGAUCCGGCAAUGAAUGGGUUAGUUUUCGCAUUACAAUAGACAGUAGUGAAUUUCGAGAAACAUGCUCUCCAGCCAUCUUUGGCACGGGGCGACAGAAUUAAAUUGUAGUUCAGACGGUUUAAUUUCAUGUAGCUGUAAAUUAAAACCCGACUAAAGUGGCGAUGAGCCUAAUCUAAUUAUUGAGCGUUUCUCUCGAGAGCAGAAGCGCUCCAAGUUGCGGAAGCGAAGUGAAAGCGCUUCAAAACACUACAUGCAGGAAAGGAGACAGAGAAGCUUCCUCGGUCGACGCCACUACAAGUUACAGACGUUGCUGAAGACAAAACAUCUUAAACGAAAGAAAAAAAGAAAAUUGACUUACCAGACAUUUUGGCCUGAAAAGGAGGAAAACUCUGGAAGAACUACAGUGAAAUACCCCAACGUCACUUCUUUGCUCUAUUAUAUGGGCAAGAACGAAUUAUUCACAAAAGUAUUAAAAAGUCUCAACAAAGUAACCUCAAAACACUCUCAGGACAUACAAUUAUACAGUAAUAUAGCUAGGGAUAUUUUAGUUUGAGUUUUUCUCCCCUCAUCCCUACUAUUUAAAACCCCAAGAACUCAAUGAUUUGACAAUGAUUUGAUUGCGCGAUACUUUCAAUUUGAAUAUUCAAAGGCUUCGUAAAAAGACUUAUUUCUGACUGAUAUUCGCUAUUAUAAUGCAUAUAUUAGCACCUCUUUUAAUAGAAUGUUGUGUUAUUUCACAUCUUGACAUCAAGCAAAUAUAUAUUUUUAACAUUUUAUCAUCCUUUUGGUGUUGGUGGAUGGAGUCUCCCUUAGAAGCACUAUUUCAACUUUGCAGGGAGAUUCAAGGCACAAAUCAAGCUUUACAUUCCAUUACACGUUGCAAAUAUCUUCUCUAAUAGGUAGUAUUGAAAAAAAUAAUAAUUAUUGUGACGUGUAGAUCUCAUUUGUGCAGUAUUUUAAGAAUUAUUGGAGUUGUGGGCGUGGCAUAUGAUAGCAGCCAUGUUUGUCAUUAGAACAAUUGGGACUCAUGCUAAAGUUAAGUUACUGGGAUAGUGGGAACAGGUAUGAGAAGGCUAAAUAUGAAAUUUAGUCAUUUAUAUUUAUAGGCUAUAUUGAAUUCAAAAGGUCAGUUGUAACUGCAGACCCAAAGCAAGUUAAUUGAAAACGAUGUUCACAAUAAAAUUUAGGCUAUUAAUUUACUUUCUCAUGGUAUUAUCUGUUUUAAUGAAACAGUUUCGUUAAUCAAUGCAUGUUGCAUAUUUAUCAUCAUCAUUAAAAUCGUCAUAUUGAUCCUCAAAAUGAAUAGGAGGGAUGCUGAUCACAAACACAAUCUUACACCUGACUGUAGUUAGGCUAAGGUCUUUUAACAAUAAUUAAAACACUUUAAAUAAUUAAAGUGGAAUAUUCUUCGAGACCGUAAUGCAGUUGUUUAUUUACGCGUGUGAUAUUUAAUGGUCGUGUGUUUAAGAAGACUGGAAACAGGCAGAAUGGAUGACAUGCAGGUGCUCUUUGUCUUAGCAAAGAAGUCUGAAAACGGUCCAUGUGACAUGUAGGCCUUGUAUACCGACAAACUGAACAUUUCGUUCGCAAGUGCAGAAUAAUUGGAUAUCAAAGUGUUGAGAUAAAACAUAGGGCACUUUAUUAAUACGUCUUUAAGCAUCUUGUUGUAGCUAAUCCGAAUGCAACUAUCUUGGUGGGAUUUCUAAAUCGCUUGACUCCUUUGUGAAAUCGAUUUGUAAUGUUAAUUCGCUGCAAACAGACCUCCUGUUUCAAAAUAUUAUUUUCUAACAAGUCUCUCAUUAUCAUUCACCUUGAUCAUCAUAUCUUUCAUAAUCCUAAUAAAUCUCUAAAGAAAGGAGAGGACAGUCGUUACGAGAUCUGGCCAGUUGAAUGUCGCCCCCUGGUGACUAAAGUGAGGAACACUCAGGUCCUUUAUGUUAUCAAUUUCUUCAUUUCAGUACAUUUUUAUACAUAAAACGUUCCCCAAUUCCUGUUUUCCUCACGUUAGAAUUAAAAUAGACGUACAUCUUUUGAUUUUCACCCUUAUUUUAUAUAGAUGUUUUUCUCCUAAUCUGGAAAUGAUGUAUAUAUGAAGAUAUUAUUGUUUUUGAAAGAAGUCUCUAUGCUCAUCAAGCCUGCAAACAAAUUUGUUUUU